rnacentral:rRNA from 1 species
AUGGCAAAGUUAAUAAGGGCGCACGGUGGAUGCCUUGGCACUAAGAGCCGAUGAAGGACGUGACUAACGACGAUAUUCUAGGGGGAGCAGUAAGUACGCAUUGAUCCCUAGGUCUCCGAAUGGGGAAACCCAGCUGCUACUAGCAGUUAUUCAUGAGUGAAUACAUAGCUCAUGUAAAGGUAACGCAGAGAACUGAAACAUCUAAGUACCUGCAGGAAGAGAAAGUAAAAACGAUUUCGUAAGUAGCGGCGAGCGAACGCGAAGAAGGGCAAACCAAGAAGCUUGCUUCUUGGGGUUGUAGGACUGCAACGUGGACUUAAGCAUUAUAGUCGAAUAACCUGGGAAGGUUAAUCAAAGAGGGUAAUAAUCCCGUAGACGAAAUAGCGCUUAUACCUAGCAGUAUCCUGAGUAGGGCUGGACACGCGAAAUCCAGUUUGAAUCCGGGAGGACCAUCUCCCAACCCUAAAUACUCCUUAGUGACCGAUAGUGAACCAGUACCGUGAGGGAAAGGUGAAAAGAACCCCGAGAGGGGAGUGAAAUAGCACCUGAAACCGUGUGCCUACAAGAAGUUCGAGCCCGUUAAUGGGUGAGAGCGUGCCUUUUGUAGAAUGAACCGGCGAGUUACGUUAUGAUGCGAGGUUAAGUUGAAGAGACGGAGCCGUAGGGAAACCGAGUCUGAAUAGGGCGACUUAGUAUCAUGAUGUAGACCCGAAACCUAGUGACCUAUCCAUGAGCAGGGUGAAGGUGUGGUAAGACGCACUGGAGGCCCGAACCAGGACACGUUGAAAAGUGUUUGGAUGACUUGUGGAUAGCGGAGAAAUUCCAAACGAACUGGGAGAUAGCUGGUUCUCUCCGAAAUAGCUUUAGGGCUAGCGUCGAAAUGUAAGUGUAUUGGAGGUAGAGCACUGUUUGGGUGAGGGGUCCGUCUAGGAUUACCAAUCUCAGAUAAACUCCGAAUGCUAAUACACAUGUUCGGCAGUCAGACUGCGAGUGCUAAGAUCCGUAGUCGAAAGGGAAACAGCCCAGACCAACAGCUAAGGUCCCAAAAUAUAUGUUAAGUGGAAAAGGAUGUGGGGUUGCACAGACAACUAGGAUGUUAGCUCAGAAGCAGCUAUCAUUCAAAGAGUGCGUAAUAGCUCACUAGUCGAGUGACCCUGCGCCGAAAAUGUACCGGGGCUAAACAUAUUACCGAAGCUUUGGAUUGAUAUUUUAUCAAUGGUAGGAGAGCGUUCUUAACCGCGAUGAAGGUAUACCGUGAGGAGUGCUGGAGCGUUAAGAAGUGAGAAUGCCGGUAUGAGUAGCGCAAGAUAAGUGAGAAUCUUAUCCACCGUAAGACUAAGGUUUCCAGGGGAAGGCUCGUCCGCCCUGGGUUAGUCGGGACCUAAGGCGAGGCCGAAAGGCGUAGUCGAUGGACAACUGGUUGAUAUUCCAGUACUAGAUAUGAUCGUGAUGGAGGGACGCAGUAGGCUAAGAGAUGCCAGUUAAUGGAUUCUGGUCUAAGCAGUGAGGUGUGAGAUGUGUCAAAUGCAUUUCUCUCUAACAUUGAGCUGUGAUGGGGAAGCAACUACGGUUGCGAACUCUCUGAUGUCACACUGCCAAGAAAAGCUUCUAGCGUAAAGUCAUAUCUACCCGUACCGCAAACCGACACAGGUAGUCGAGGCGAGUAGCCUCAGGUGAUCGAGAGAACUCUCGUUAAGGAACUCGGCAAAAUAGCCCCGUAACUUCGGGAGAAGGGGUGCUGGUGUAAAAGCCAGCCGCAGUGAAUAGGCCCAAGCAACUGUUUAUCAAAAACACAGCUCUCUGCUAAACCGCAAGGUGAUGUAUAGGGGGUGACGCCUGCCCGGUGCUGGAAGGUUAAGAGGAGUGCUUAGACGUAAGUCGAAGGUAUGAAUUGAAGCCCCAGUAAACGGCGGCCGUAACUA